rnacentral:rRNA from 4 species
GUGAAAUUGAACUCGCUGUGAAGAUGCAGUGUACCCGCGGCAAGACGGAAAGACCCCGUGAACCUUUACUAUAGCUUGACACUGAACAUUGAGCCUUGAUGUGUAGGAUAGGUGGGAGGCUUUGAAGUGUGGACGCCAGUCUGCAUGGAGCCGACCUUGAAAUACCACCCUUUAAUGUUUGAUGUUCUAACGUGGACCCGUGAUCCGGGUUGCGGACAGUGUCUGGUGGGUAGUUUGACUGGGGCGGUCUCCUCCUAAAGAGUAACGGAGGA